CAUAUACUCCCUUCGUCCGAAAAUACUUGUCAUCAAAAUGGACAAAAAGGGACGUAUCUAGAACUACAGUACAUCUGGAUAUAUCCCCUUUUUAUUCAUUUUGAUGACAAGUAUUUCCGGACGGAGGGAGUAUAUG
rfam:Triticum aestivum genome assembly, contig: Triticum_aestivum_CS42_TGACv1_scaffold_223464_3B